UAGAAAAUGGAAGCUGAAUGACACAUCAUCAUUGGCGUGUGCUAACCUCAGAUAAAAUGAGGCCUUAUGAAAUGAAGAUGAAACAAUAUUAAAUCAAGUCACAGUCUUGUAGGAAAGAAAAGAAACUGUGCAAAGUUACCCAAAAGAUUAAAAAACCCAAGGUGCUUUGUGUGCAACAACACAAAGCAACAAGCCCCCCACACUUCUGCUGAAUUCAGAAGGUAGUUAGUGUCUUCUGAAUGCAGCGAUCAAGGUUUAGGAAUACGUAGGAGAUGCCUAGAACAAAGUGGAAAAUACUGGAGCAGAGAUUUAGCUCAGAAAAUCUGAGGGGAGAAGAUUCUGUCCUUCUGAAAUCUGCCUUCUCCAGUAGCCUUACAUACUUGGACCAAUAAAACCGGUGAAAGUCACAUGGCAAGAGGAUCCACGUUUCCAAGACAGCAGUUCUGAGAGUGAUGAUGAGCCUGAACCAUCAGAAAUUGGAAAGGACCAAGAAAUGCAAGUUCCAUUUGUAUUUGUUCUCUCCUUGGUUGUCGUAGUUGGAUGCUGUGGGCAUAUUAAGAGCAGCACUCAGGAAACGGGAAACGGACAUUGCACACCUCUGAGCAGUGAAAGUCAUCUUGGAAAACCGUCUGUGCUGCACCGAGUCAAAACUCCCAGCAGCCCAUUUGAUGUGAAGCUGAAUAUGAAGAGAGAGAAGUUGAGCACAAGAAAUUAACUGGGUCGUUUUGGUUUGACCAAACCCAAACUGAGUUUGGCCAAAAGCCAAAGACACAGUCAGUUUUCUUUUAAAAAGUGGGGUUUUUAUAGAAGGCUCUGUUUGGUUACUGUGGAGUAAAGCUCUUCAAUGUUUACCAUUUCUCUGAAGCGCUGCAGCUCUAACUCGUGUUCAUGGAAUUUGAUAGUGCCUUUUAGGAUGCUAAAAUCCCUUUGUACUUGUCUAGGUUUCUUUCUUUACCACACACGGAAAGUGCUAGAGUCUUCUUCUUCUCCAAAGAUGAUGAACGCCUAAGAGGUACAACAGAACUUAUUCACCCCUUUUGUAUUUUUUUCCUUUUAAACUCUUACUGGAAUUCAGUGAGGAAAAAAUGCUGCCCGCUUAUGAAUGGUUUGUAGUCAACAUUUGCCACCCUUACUUGGGGUCUAGGUUGUGCUAGAAGCCCGUGAGGAAGUCCUGGCAAAAUAAAGGCUGAGCAGCUGUCUGGCUUUCUUUUCUUUCAGAUAAUUGCCUAAUAGGUAUCUGGACUUUUGGAGCUUACCAAAAAAAUAGUCACUGGACAAGUUGCCUAGACAUUUCAGACCCUUUCAGGUAUGUAUAUCAUCUUUAACUUUUUCUUGUCUUUCUGCUGUUAUCAUUAAGAACGUUGAGUAUUCUUAUCAGCCACAUAUGCCCGUGGGGUUCUUUGUCCUCCUGAAUCUCGGUUUUUCUCUUCUGAAUCCAGUGAAUUUUGUACUAAAAACCAAGGAAAACAACAGUCAAAGAAAACAUACGCAGCCCUAAACAUUCCACAGGCCACCAAAACAAUGGCUUGUUACAUUUGAUAGAACACAGUUUUAGGACAGCCUUAAAGGAUGUUUGUUUCUUGAGACCUACUAGAUAACUGUGAUGCAACGAGCUGAUGUGUUCAUACAGUUACUGUCCUGCGUGCUUCCAGCCUGUCUGAUUUACAGCGCGUGUUAAAAUGGGGAUCUCAGUCGUCAGCAGCCAUCAGUUUUGGGGGGAGAUGUGGGAUCCUGGUGUUGAGCUUUUCCUGGAGCAGCUGCUAUUUCACUGCAAUCUAGAUUUCAGCAUGUUCAGGAAAACUGCUGCUGCCUUUCAUUUCUCGCAGUACACGCGGCUGUAACACCGAACAUUUCUGUCGGAGCUCACGUGUGGUGGUGGGGGGAAGCGAAUGGGAAGGAUGUGGAGAAUAGAGCUGCUGACUUUACUGCUGUGUUGCUCAUGAGUGAUCCAAGCAGCAGCAUCAUCAGAAGUGUUUAACCCUUAUAAUUGGUUCUUUGUUUUGUGCAGAGGGCCCAAAGUUAUUUUGUAGAUCAGUAGAGCUCAGUGAAGAAAAAGAGGGUUGGGAAGACAGACGUAGAUUAUUGCUUGAGGUGAGUAUGAAACGUCUGUUCCCUGGUAACUGUGGCUGAAAGCUGAGCACGAGGAGGGAAGAGGGCUAUGAAUCUGCAUGAGAAAUUAAUUCAGGACCUCAACAAGAGCCUGAAACUUUGUAAUUACCAGAGAACAAAAGUGGUUUAGUAUACUGGUGUGUAUAACAUCAGGUUGUGAUGUCACUCAGGUAAACCACUAAAUCUCUGCACGUUACGGGACAGGACCAGAGACUUAACUGUACAUAGAGAAAGUGUUCAAGAGAAACAGUGAGUUCAGAGACUUCUCCUAAUAGUGGAUUCAGAAACUUCUCCUAAUAAUACGUUGGAUUUUCACCAUUUUCUGGAAUGCCGAAGGAAGCAUAAGGACGCCAAAAGAAAAGUGAAAGCAAACCAAUAAAUCUUCUUUUACUGAUGAGAAGCGUGUCAUGUUUCUUCCUUGAAGAAGUUGCAAACCAAUGUUACUUUGGAAAUCCUUUCCAAGAUCUAAUAGGAAAAACUUUUGGCCAAAACUGUCAGCCUGUGUUUCUGAAUAGGAAUACGUGUCCUGUGUCAAUUCAAGUGCCACCCUCGAUGGCUGCCCCAGGGCCUGGCAUUUGACCCUGCACUUGCUGCAGGAGCCCCUGCCCUGGUUGGGCUCUGACCAAAGGCUCGGACCCAUCUCAGAACCUCGGUUCCCAAGGGUGGCGUGGGACUGAGGCCAUCGCUGCCCCUAUUUUGGGUGCGCGUUGCUGAUGUCAGAAUGGCCAUUGUGACCCGUGCGACCAAGGCCACCAGAGGGAACGCUGGGCUCAGGCCGUGUGUCAGUGCGACCUGACAACGGGAGGAGAAGACGCAGCAGAGGAACAUCCACGGGAGACAGCAGUGUUCCUCGACGCGGUGACGGGAGGAGAAGGCGGACUGGAGCAGGGCUCACGCAGGGCUCACCAGGGAGUAGUGCCCUCGUGGCUCUGGGCCGGUUCUGCAAACUCCCCACACUCUUCUUUCUCCCACAGAGGGAGAGGACGAGCGCCUGGAGAAGGUCGCGGUGUUCCUGCACGGGGACUCAUCGCAGACCAGAACCAUGGCAGAAGGGAAGCAGGAGGCCUCUGAUGCCAGGGAGCCAGCAUGCCUGCUGUGCC